CCUUUAUUGGCACGAGAGGAGAAGAUUGGGUUACAAGCCCGUGUCAACAUUGUUUCUGAGGGUGACAAGUUUAGCUCUACUGGUUGCAGGAUUUGCAAGAGAUAUUAAUGAAAACUGAGAGAUGAACAUUGCGGAUUCCAGUAUGAAACGAGUAAAGCUUAUCUUUACAAUUUGCCCUGGCGUCAAUGAGGAUGAUCACUAGAUAAGCCACAAUGCUAUGUGACCUUGGUUCGAAAUUGCGCAAUGCGAGAUGAAGGGAGGAGGCUGGCGCCUAGCGCCAUGGCGCCACAUUGCCAGCGCCUUGUGUACCUGCAACACAAAAGGUACAACAAAGCGGCGUUUUUACCGCUUUAGCAAAAUAACAAAAGCAAGGAAAAGCGACCUAAAGCGAGGGUUUUAUGUAACUCGCCUGGGGUCCCUUGGCGAUGAGGUCCUCGCCUUGUGGCGCUUAGCGCCAUGGCGCCAAAAACGCUCGCUUUUUUGAACCAAGUAUGUGACUGGAAGCACACAAAACACCAUUCAUUCAUGCAGAAGAUUCGUGUGACGUGGCUGAACAGAAAUCAAGAAAUAGAAGUAAGUUAAGAGAUACACACUAGAUAGUUUCAAUGACUUGCUAAUAGCCAUAGUAGCAUGCUUUCAUAAAUAGCAGGGUGAGAAAAAGGAUGUGGAACUCUGAUUUUAGUAGUAAAACAAUAUAUAUAUUAAUGAUGAUAAUGUUUUAAUCUGCGAUUAUGUUGAAUGUGAACAAAACCAAGAUUGCAUCACUUAAAACAAAUGCCAUUAUCUGGCAUCAUUGUCUGGUUUUAAGUAGCAUAGAACAUAUAUAAUUAAGAUCUUGAGACUUGUCAAGUCUUAGUAGCAACCUUCUACAGGUAACUAAGACUCAAAGAGGCCAAGUAAAAUGUUGAGUAGAAGAGUCAUAAGCUCGUGAGUCGUCUGGUUCCAGGUAUUGCCUCAGAACCUGCUGCUGUAGGUUGAACUCGAAUCCACCCAUUGUGGUGCCGUUGCUCAUCAGGAACCGGAGCUCAUCUGGCUCAGAGAUUUGGCUCAGUCCCAAAACAGGGGACACACAAGGCGAAUUGCUCUUUUUGCCUGACAUGAACCCCCAGGUUUGGUUCGUGUACUGACUAUGUACUGUUGAAACAGGUGGUGACUGAGCCAUUGUAACCCUCAAGGAAUCACUGACUGAUGUCUGAAGUUGUUGCAGCUGCUGAGUUGUUUUUGGGUUUGACAGAAGAGAGAGAGCACAGCUCGACUCUCUGCUAUUAUUAUUGUUCACCAUCUCUGGGUAUGUUAUACUAAAGCUUGAGCUUCCCUGUGAUAAAAAAGCAUUCAUCAGUUGAUGGCUAUCCCUUGCGGUUGACCACGUAGUAGGAUCUCCCAAAACCCUUCCUGUCACCAAUCAAGAACUUGCUUCUAUAAGGCACAUGGAGCUGAAAAAAGAGAGUUGAGCUAUUUUGUAAAAAAAGCUGAUCUAACCGUAAAGAGAUGCUGUUGUUGCUUGAGGCUUUCUUCUUCUUUCGUUAUGACAAGUGAGUCGUCUUCUACAACUUCUUUUCUCCAAGUCAAACUCAGAAAGCUGGUGAAACCUAAAGAGAAAAAGAAGCUUCAGUGAAAAGCAACAUAAUAAUAAUAAUAUCAUUUUUAUUUUACCUCUCCAUAGACAAGAGACAAUAUCACAUAAUAACUUUUUUUUUCUGAAACAAUAUCACAUAAUAACUAGCUGUAAAGUUUUGUAAUAAGACUCUUCAAAGAC